CAUGCAUGUCUAAGUACAAGCCUCAGUAAGGUGAAACCGCGAAUGGCUCAUUAAAUCACACCUAAUCUACUGGAAAGUUACUAGUUACUUGGAUAACUGAGGUAAUUCUUGAGCUAAUACAUGCGAAAAAUCUCGACUCACGGAGAGAUGCUUUUAUUAGAUCAAAACCAAACGGCUUCGGCCGUCUCAUUGGUGACUCUGAAUAACUUUGGGCUGAUCGUAUGGCCUUGUGCCGACGACGUUUCCUUCGAAGGUGUGCCCUAUCAACUGUCGACUGUGAUAUAGACGCUCACAGUGGUUUUGACGGGUAACGGGGAAUCAGGGUUCGAUUCCGGAGAGGGAGCCUUAAAAACGGCUACCACAUCCAAGGAAGGCAGCAGGCACGCAAAUUACCCAAUGAACGAAGUUCGAGGUAGUGACGAAAAAUAACGAUACAGGACUCAUCCGAGGCCCUGUAAUUGGAAUGAGUACACUUUAAAACCGUUCCCGAGGAUCUAUUGGAGGGCAAGUCUGGUGCCAGCAGCCGCGGUAAUUCCAGCUCCAAUAGCGUAUAUUAAAGUUGUUGUGGUUAAAAAGCUCGUAGUUGGAUCUCGGCGGACAGAAGUCGGUCCGAAUGCUUUCGGUACUGGCUUGUUUGUCCGUGUGUUUUGCCAGAGGCAGGCGGGUGCUCUUCGCCGAGUGUCCGUUUGUGCUGGCAGGUUUACUUUGAAAAAAUUAGAGUGCUCAAAGCAAGCUCUUACGCUUGAAUAUUCGUGCAUGGAAUAAUAGAAUAGGAUGUCGUUUCUAUUUUGUUGGUUUUCGGAAAUCGACAUAAUGAUUAAUAGGGACAGUCGGGGGCAUUUGUAUUCAAACGACAGAGGUGAAAUUCUUGGACCGUUUGAAGACAAACUACUGCGAAAGCAUUUGCCAAGAAUGUUUUCAUUAAUCAAGAACGAAAGUUAGAGGUUCGAAGGCGAUUAGAUACCGCCCUAGUUCUAACCAUAAACGAUGCCAGCUAGCGAUCUGCAGGCGUUUUACUUUACGACCUUGCAGGGAGCUUCCGGGAAACCAAAGCUUGUGGGUUCCAGGGGAAGUAUGGUUGCAAAGCUGAAACUUAAAGGAAUUGACGGAAGGGCACCACCAGGAGUGGAGCCUGUGGCUUAAUUUGACUCAACACGGGAAAUCUCACCAGGCCCGGACACGAGAAGGAUUGACAGAUUGAUAGCUCUUUCUUGAUUUCGUGGGUGGUGGUGCAUGGCCGUUCUUAGUUGGUGGAGUGAUUUGUCUGGUUAAUUCCGAUAACGAACGAGACUCUGUCCUGCUAACUAGUGUCUGCUUCUUUUCUGAGCAGAUUAUUCUUCUUAGAGGGACUGGUAGCUCUUAGCUACACGAGAUUGAGCAAUA
rnacentral:rRNA from 1 species